rnacentral:rRNA from 1 species
UACGGAGGGAGCUAGCGUUGUUCGGAAUUAUUGGGCGUAAAGGGCGCGUAGGCGGCUGUACAAGUCAAAGGUGAAAUCCCUCGGCUCAACUGAGGAACUGCCUUUGAAACUGUACGGCUUGAGGCCGGGAGGGGGUAGCGGAAUUCCCAGUGUAGCGGUGAAAUGCGUAGAUACUGGGAGGAACACCAGUGGCGAAGGCGGCUACCUGGACCGGUUCUGACGCUGAGGCGCGAAAGCGUGGGUAGCAAACAGG